UACGGGAGGCAGCAGUGGGGAAUAUUGCACAAUGGGCGCAAGCCUGAUGCAGCCAUGCCGCGUGUAUGAAGAAGGCCUUCGGGUUGUAAAGUACUUUCAGCGGGGAGGAAGGCGAUGCGGUUAAUAACCGCGUCGAUUGACGUUACCCGCAGAAGAAGCACCGGCUAACUCCGUGCCAGCAGCCGCGGUAAUACGGAGGGUGCAAGCGUUAAUCGGAAUUACUGGGCGUAAAGCGCACGCAGGCGGUCUGUUAAGUCAGAUGUGAAAUCCCCGGGCUUAACCUGGGAACUGCAUUUUGAACUGGCAGGCUUGAGUCUUGUAGAGGGGGUAGAAUUCCAGGUGUAGCGGUGAAAUGCGUAGAGAUCUGGAGGAAUACCGGUGGCGAAGGCGGCCCCUGGGACAAGACUGACGCUCAGGGUGCGAAAGCGUGGGGAGCAAACGAGGAUUAGAUACC
rnacentral:rRNA from 1 species